AGUUGAUACUGUCAGUCUUGAGUACAGUAGAGGUGGGCGGAAUUCGUGGUGUAGCGGUGAAAUGCUUAGAUAUCACGAAGAACUCCGAUUGCGAAGGCAGCUCACUGGACUGCAACUGACACUGAUGCUCGAAAGUGUGGGUAUCAAACAGGAUUAGAUACCCUGGUAGUCCACACAGUAAACGAUGAAUACUCGCUGUUUGCGAUAUACAGUAAGCGGCCAAGCGAAAGCAUUAAGUAUUCCACCUGGGGAGUACGCCGGCAACGGUGAAACUCAAAGGAAUUGACGGGGGCCCGCACAAGCGGAGGAACAUGUGGUUUAAUUCGAUGAUACGCGAGGAACCUUACCCGGGCUUAAAUUGCAGUGGAAUGAUGUGGAAACAUGUCAGUGAGCAAUCACCGCUGUGAAGGUGCUGCAUGGUUGUCGUCAGCUCGUGCCGUGAGGUGUCGGCUUAAGUGCCAUAACGAGCGCAACCCUUAUCUUCAGUUACUAACAGGUCAUGCUGAGGACUCUGGAGAGACUGCCGUCGUAAGAUGUGAGGAAGGUGGGGAUGACGUCAAAUCAGCACGGCCCUUACGUCCGGGGCUACACACGUGUUACAAUGGGGGGUACAGAAGGCAGCUAGCGGGUGACCGUAUGCUAAUCCCAAAAUCCUCUCUCAGUUCGGAUCGAAGUCUGCAACCCGACUUCGUGAAGCUGGAUUCGCUAGUAAUCGCGCAUCAGCCACGGCGCGGUGAAUACGUUCCCGGGCCUUGUACACACCGCCCGUCAAGCCAUGGGAGCCGGGGGUACCUGAAGUACGUAACCGCAAGGAUCGUCCUAGGGUAAAACUGGUGACUGGGGCUAAGUCGUAACAAGGUAACCA
rnacentral:rRNA from 1 species